rnacentral:tRNA from 1 species
AUUUAUAUAGUUUAUAAAAACAUUACAUUUUCAUUGUAAAAAUAAAAUUAAUAAAAAUUUUUAUAAAUA